rnacentral:rRNA from 1 species
GAUGAACGCUAGCGGCAGGCUUAAUACAUGCAAGUUGAGGGGCAGCAUGAUAUACGCGAGUAUAUUGAUGGCGACCGGCGGACGGGUGAGUAAUAGGUAGGAGACCUACCUCAUACAGGGGGAUAGCAUAGAGAAAUCUGUGGUAAUACCCCAUGAGGUUAUAUGAAUAGAGGCAUAUAAUCAAAGCAUAAGCGAUUAUGCGGUAUGAGAGGGGCCUACUGACCAUUAGCUAGUUGGUGAGGUAAGGGCUCACCAAGGCGAAGAUGGUUAGGGGUUUUGAGAGAGAGACCCCCCACAUUGGAACUGAGAGACGGUCCAGACUCCUACGGGAGGCAGCAGUAGGGAAUAUUGGGCAAUGGGCGAAAGCCUGACCCAGCCAUGCCGCGUGAAGGAAGACGGCCUUAUGGGUUGUAAACUUCUUUACUACGCGAAUAGAGGUUAGUACGAGAUACUAAUAGGAAGGUAGUGUAGUAAAAAGCACCGGCUAACUCCGUGA